GUCUUCUCAGCUUCCAGCCAGGUUUUGGAAGCCGCAGAAGAAGCCAUUCUCAGUGCUGGAUGGCGGCGGCGCAGUCUCCCCAUGUGGGGCUUCAACUCCCUUUGUCUUUCAACGCCUCUCUGCCCCGGCUGCCGGAAGACUCUCUGCCCUGGCUGCCAGAAGACCUGGCAGCAGGCGGCUGACCCAACCGGUGUCUUCCCCGUUUCCAGCAGCUUCCAGCUGGGUGCUCACUGGCUUCGCCCACAUCAACAUGAAUCACAGAAUUGUCAAACUGGAAGAACCUCAAGGAUCAUUUAGUCUAACCCUCUGCAGUCUGCAGAAAGCAAGUUCGUGUCAGGUUUCAAUGUCAUCUCAAAUAAAUUGCACUCCCAAACAA